rnacentral:misc_RNA from 1 species
GAUGAAGAACGUAGUGAAAUGCGAUAAGUAAUGUGAAUUGCAGAAUUCAGUGAAUCAUCGAAUCUUUGAACGCACAUUGCGCCCGCCAGUAUUCUGGCGGGCAUGCCUGUUCGAGCGUCAUUUCAACCAUCAAGCCCCCGGCUUGUGUUGGGGACCUGCGGCUGCCGCAGGCCCUGAAAUGCAGUGGCGGGCUCGCUGUCACUCCGAGCGUAGUAGUUACAUCUCGCUCUGGGCGUGCUGCGGGUUCCGGCCGUUAAAAGCCUUAUUUACCCAAGGUUGACCUCGGAUCAGGUAGGAAGACCCGCUGAACUUAAGCAUAUCAUAAGCGGAGGA